rnacentral:rRNA from 1 species
CCUACGGGAGGCAGCAGUGGGGAUAUUGCACAAUGGGGGAAACCCUGAUGCAGCGACGCCGCGUGUGGGAAGACGGUCCUCUGGAUUGUAAACCACUAUCCGCAGGGACGAAGAUGACGGUACCUGGGGAGGAAGCUCCGGCUAACUACGUGCCAGCAGCCGCGGUAAUACGUAGGGAGCGAGGGUUAUCCGGAAUUACUGGGUGAAAAGGGAGCGUAGGCGGGGAUGCAAGUCGGGGGUAAAAUCUACCGGCUCAACCGGGAGCCGCAUUUAAAACUGCAGUUCUUGAGUGAAGUAGAGGCAGGCGGAAUUCCUAGUGUAGCGGUGAAAUGCGUAGAUAUUAGGAGGAACACCAGUGGCGAAGGCGGCCUGCUGGGCUUUUACUGACGCUGAGGCUCGAAAGUGUGGGGAGCAAACAGGAUUAGAUACCCUAAUAGUC